GAAAAUCAUUCUUUCUAAAUCUCAGUAAAGAUGAGUUUAUAUUUCAUGUCGAGUCUCGUUACAGAAUAAGGGAAAACACGGAAAUAAAACGUUGCUAUUCCGAAACAGCUUUUUAUCAGCCGAUGGUCUUUUAAAAAUGCAUAUCAAACACGCAAUUAUCACGCAUGAGCACGCCACGUGGCCUGUCAUUGUGCCUGUGGUAUUACUGGAUAUUAGACAAUUUUUUUUUUUUUUUU